rnacentral:misc_RNA from 1 species
UCGGGCGCUAGAGUCGCUUAUUCUCAUCAGUCGGCAGUGUCGGCACACGACACGACGUGUGCAUUGCUCUUCGCUGGUUGUGUGUGCUCCAAAAUGCCAUUGUGUACAUUCGCUCAGCUGUUUUUCACGGUAGAAAGUCACUGUGUUUGGUGCAAAGAGAGUGAUGAGCGAGUGAGAGAAGAAAAAUAGAGAUCAUCCGUGCGUUGCUCAUCGUCGUACGUAUUUCGGAAUUUCACCGUUUAUUUUUAGUAAACGAGUCGCGAUGGUGCGGGAAUGUACAGGAAGACGCGUACAAAGAUCUCAGUUCAGUCAAAAUUCGGGCGUCUUUUGAAUAAAUAAUCCUGUGUCGUAUACUCAGUGAAUAGAAACGGAGCAAACGAACAUAGAAAGAAAGUAAACAUCGUAAUAAAUCACGAGAAACGUACGAGUCCUAGUGUUCCAUUUAUCCUAGCUGAUUCUGUUUUUCGUCUGUUUUGUUUAUUUGUCUUUCUGUUCCUUAUCACUGGUGAAAAUUCGUCUCUUUGAAGACGCUGCACCGUUAAAAAGCUCUUUUAUGCAAUUCGCCCUUAUUAAAAAGAACGUGCUGUACGUUCGUCGUUUGGUCAAUUAUGAGGGGUACGAAAUCCGGCGUUUUUUAUGACAUUUACAAUCAGCCCUACGAUGAUAGAACUAGGCUCAAGCUGUACACGAGCAGUAAAGCAAGUCUUCAACUUAUACAGCGAAUGGCGCUGCUUAAGAGACUUAAAGUGCACAAUGGCUGUGUCAAUUCUAUCUGCUGGAAUGCAAGUGGUACAUUGAUACUGUCAGGAAGUGACGAUCAGCAUCUUGUUCUUACAAAUCCUUAUAACUAUCAGGUUCUCACCGAUUACAAAACUAGCCAUAGAGCGAAUAUAUUUAGUGCCAAAUUUUUACCAAACAGUGGUGAUCAUCGCAUUGUAUCCUGCAGUGGGGAUGGUAUAAUACUCUACACAGAUCUCAUGAGACGAACAGCAACGUUUCAGAAUCAGUUCACGUGUCACAGUGGAACCACCUACGAGAUUGCUACGAUACCAGGAGAGCCACACAGUUUUUUGAGUUGUGGCGAAGAUGGGACAGUUCGAGGCUACGAUUUGCGAGUUAAAGAAAAAUGUAACACCCCAAGAUGCAAAGAAGACGUGAUGAUCUCGUGUCAAAAAGCGGUGACCGCUCUGUCCGUAAAUCCUUUGGUACCCCAUCAAGUGGCUAUCGGAUGUUCCGACAGUACGGUAAGAACUUUCGACAGGAGAAUGUUGGCAACGAGGGAUCCAGAUAAUGGAGAAAGCGCCUGGCCAACGUCGAUAUUCAGUGUACCCGAAUUUGAGGGAAAUUCCUACAGAAUAACGUCACUGAGUUACAGUCCGGACGGCCAAGAUGUUUUGGUCAGUUACAGCAGCGAUCAUCUGUACUUGUUCAGUAUAAAGGAUCAGGGAAGCAUGCAGAUGAGAAAAGAUGCCUCGACAGGGAAGAACAAAAGCAAGAAAAACCAGUUGCGAUCACCGCAGCCAGUGAGGCGUUUGAGGUUGAGAGGCGAUUGGUCAGACACAGGACCGGACGCUCGUCCGGAAAGUGAAGGUGGACGAUUGAACGGAACAGAGAUUGCACAAGCAAGACCGAUUUUGCAUACUUCAUUGAUGCAACGAAUGACGGACGUGUUGAGCAGAAUGUUGAACGACCCUGCAACGCGUGCUGCUCUAAAUGGCAGCGGUGAUGAUAAUCUCGAAGGUUGGAUAAUCGACCAGCAGGGCGAGGGAGCUCAGCAACAAGCGCAACAACCACAACAACAGCAACAGAAUCAACAGAAUCAAGCAACCGGAGAGGAAAGCGUCGAACCGAGUGCAGAAUCGGCAAACGGAAACGAGGCUUCGUCCCAUCAGGCGAUGGAAAUUGAAGCUGCGAGCAGCGCCGAAACCCGUGAAUCUGACGAGUUGAGUACAGUAGCGAUCGCGAGUAACCCUAGCGAGGAUUCCUCCAACGCUUUGGCCGUCGACGUGUCAACCGAAAACGAGAUUGAAGAAACUGUAACGCAAGAAAGCGACGAGAUCUUUUGCGAAAGCGAAGAAUCUCACAUUGUAAAUAAUUCACCCACCGAAUCCGACACCGAGGAGACGAGAAACGAGACAAAUAAUGUUCCUAUGGGAAGUGAAUCUAGUCGAACGGAGGCUUCCAAGACUUCCAUACAAUCGUUCACUUCGCUGAGUAUCUCGCGGGGCGAAGAAACUCGUGAUAGCAACAGAAACGAUAGCCUUGGCCAUUCUUCGCCGACUUCUAAUCUUGAAAAUCCUGGGGAAGGCAAUAUCAUGGAAAAUCUUCAGGACAGAUUGACCACCAUGAGACACGGUUUCCUCGAAAGACACGGCAGCGAGCCUGCCGUCAGCUUAACUUACUCCGACAAAAGCUCUACUGGCGCUACCAUUUCGCUCGGUGUUGCCAAUGAAGUUAUUCGCGACAAUUAUCAUCCAGGUCCUUCCGGCAGUCAAAAUACUGGUCUCACUAGUGCAGGACCAAGCAGUAGUCGAGGCAGAGAUCCAGAUUUCGACCUUCACGAACGAACGGACGAGGACGUUUACAACGACAGCGAUGACGAAGACGCAGAUCCUACGAGCUGUGACAGAAGCAGAGUGAGCGAUCCUGUGGAUGUAGAAUCAGAGAAGGAAUCGGGUGAGGAACGAGACUCGAUGGGACAGGAGACUUACGAGGACAGUUGUAUGACGGAAUUUCACGUGAAACAAAAAUACAUGGGUCAUCGAAAUGCGAGUUUCUUUAGGACCAUGAUCAAAGAAGCAAAUUUUUGGGGCGACGAUUACGUCAUGUCCGGUAGCGACUGCGGCCACGUUUUCGUUUGGGAAAGAGACACCGCCAAACUUUGUAUGCUCCUCGAGGCCGAUCAACACGUCGUUAAUUGCCUCCAACCUCAUCCCUUUCUUCCGAUGCUUGCCACCUCCGGUAUCGACUAUGAUGUCAAACUUUGGGCUCCUAUCAGCGAAGAAGCUAAUUUCGAUACCAAAUUCGCUGAGGAUUGAUGCUCGAAGAGACCAAAGACACGAUAACCGUCCCAGCCGCAUUUAUGAUCAGGAUGUUGGCGUGUCUUAAUCAAAUACGAAGAGGGCGGGGUCGAAACAGGAGGAGAAGUGGCGACGAAGCCGAUGAGUUACGAGG